UAGCAGCACUGAAAUAUUGGCA
rnacentral:ncRNA from 2 species